GUCCACGCCGUAAACGAUGGAUGCUAGCCGUCGGAUAGCUUGCUAUUCGGUGGCGCAGCUAACGCAUUAAGCAUCCCGCCUGGGGAGUACGGCCGCAAUGUUAAAACUCAAAGGAAUUUACGGGGGCCCGCACAAGCGGUGGAGCAUGUGGUUUAAUUCGACGCAACGCGAAGAACCUUACCAGCUCUUGACAUUCACUGAUCGCCUGGGGAGACCUGGGAGUCCUAGCAAUAGGCAGUGGGACAGGUGCUGCAUGGCUGUCGU
rnacentral:rRNA from 1 species